GCCGGUGUGGCUCAGUGGAUAGAGCAUCAGCCUGUGGAUUGAAGGAUCGCAGGUUCGAUUCCGGUCAAGAGCA
rnacentral:tRNA from 1 species